AAAAACUUUUUUCAGCAGCUCUCAAAUUCUUCACUCUGACGGAUUCUUCAUUCUUCAUUACAUUAUACGUUUCUUUUCCUUUAACCUAAUAUCUUUCCAUAACUCACCACAAACCCUAGCCGUCGUUCUCUAUCGAAAAACGCUGAAUCCUAACGCCCAAAUUCAUCAUCUUCUUGACUAAAAUCUCGCAUCGAAUCGAGAUCCGUUUGUUCGCUGUUGUUGUUAACAUCGUCCUCUUCAAUCCUAAAGCUUUGGAAUCGAAUUUGACCCGACUACUGUUCGUGCUCCAGAGGCGAACCAGGAUUAGUUGCUUGCCGGUUAUCACGUGGAUUAGCAAGCAUUGGAACAUGCUACCUAAUGGGCAUCAUUAGGACUGUGUGCGCACCGGUAUUGAUCUAGAUAAGGUAUGUGAAAUGUGGUCGUAACUCGGUGUGAGCAUAGCUCUCGGACCAGUUGAGUAACUCGGUGUAGCUCAGCUCUCGGGACUCUGGUUAUGAAUUAAGAGUGGUCGGUGGUAACUCGGUGUAGCUCAGCUCUCGGGACCUGGCCUAUUGGAUUAUGGAAAUAUUUAGUAUUGUGGAUUAGGGUUCCAACUAUUAUUCGUAAUAUCAUUAUUAAAUGUUUUAAACGGUUUUAAAGGUUUUCCACUUAAUAAAUGUAGAUAGUGGUAUAAACUCAUCUCAGUAUAUCUGACGCCGUUGUUUUCCCAAUUUUCCCCAGGGUUAUGAUCUGAGAGAAUCUGGUGAUCUCCGCAUUUACUUCUCCUCGGAGCUGCAUUAAUAGUUCCUCAAGUUCAGGCUCAACAAUGCCCUGACGAGUUAUAUCCAACAUGAUGUGUUAUUGAACAAUGUUGGAGCGACUGCGAUAAGUGGGUUAAAGGAGUAAGAGGGUUUUGCAAAGGAAACGGACCCGGACAAUCAGCACCAUUUUCUUGUAAAUGCUCUUGUUAAAAAAACCAAUAGAGUUGUGUUGUUUUUACAGUUACUCAGAUAAUAAAUUAAAAUUGCGUGUUUAGUUU